rnacentral:misc_RNA from 1 species
ACAAAAGACUGCGAGCCAUC